CUUUCUUAUCUAAAUUAUUUUGUUUACUACUUUUUAUGUCACCAAACAACAAAAAAAACCUGGCCUUCGGAGAUAUUGAACACAAAAGGUAUUGUCGAUUUAUAUAGAUAUCAGGAAAUAUAUCCAUUACCACCUUUAUACUUCAACCAGGGCCAACAAGUAAAUUAAAAGAAGAAAGCUGAUAACUUAAAUCUUAAGGGGAAGAAAUUAUAAAUAAAAGGUCUUUUAACACCCAUAGAACAAUUAUAUGUACUCGUAGCGUUGAAGAAGGGGCACCACACAUUUCAACUAUUUACACAUUAAAUCUUAUAGUACCAAAAAUAUUAUUCGACCGAUGCAAAAUUAAAAUAAUAACUAAAUUAAUAAAAGAUGAAAUAUUCAAGAGAUUAAUUUUGACAAGUGGCAACCAUGAGCCAAUCAAUAAAAUAUCAAAACAAGCAACAAAGAUUAUUGUGUUAAACUUUUUAACGGUUUAAGAUCUUAAUUUUUGAAUGUAUCUUUAGACCAAUUUGAUUUGAGUGAUUUUGGAUAGGGAACAAGUUUUAGAUUUUCGAUUUUGGAAAAGGGGGGGGCGGGGGUGCAUUUUUUGUAAAUUUUUCAUACUAAAAAUCAA